rnacentral:rRNA from 1 species
UAGGCGGUGGAAAAUGAACCAAAUGGGAUUCCUUAAGUAAUUGCGAAUGAACAAGGAACUGCUCAGCUUKAAAAUUGGGGCCUUCGGCCUUGAAUUGUAAUUUUGAAAUGUAUUGCCAAUGGAGGCGCAGGUGCAAGCCUAUUGAAAGAAAGCGUCAAUGAGGGUGAGAUUCCUUUUUGUCAUUUGCAGUCCUCCGUGCACGGUAUAUAUUUGACGAGUCACACUCCUUGGCAUUGGAAUGCAAAGUGGGUGGUAAAUUCCAUGUAAAGGAAAAUAUAUUAUUGAGACUGAUAGCAMACAAGUACCAUGAGGGAAAUAUGAAAAGGACUUUGAAAAGAGAAUUAAAAGAGUCUGCAUUUGCUGAACAGAAAGCAAACAGAAUUGAUCUACUUGGUGAGAUUGUUGCGUCCACUUGUGGGUGCAAUGGUUCUUGCCUUGAAUGUCAGCGUCUAUUUCUGCAAAUUAUUACCCUUGCAUAUGAAUUGUAAUUUGCCUGUGGGCAUUGGAAUGCAUGUGUUUGCAAUGAUUUGUGAUUUGAUACAUGUGUCUGGUGUUCGCGUGUGUGCCUUCUUGCUAACACGGGGAGGGCUCUCCUCCCUGGGCACUGCAUGCCCUUGCACAUUGUUGCUGGCAAAAUGUUUCUGCUUGACCCG